ensembl:lncRNA
AGAAAAUGCCUCUGUCAUGCUGUUUGUGCAGCCAGCUGAGCAACAGUACCUGUCAGGUGAUGGGAUCCACUGGGAAAAUGCUUUCCUGUGUGCAAAAGGGAACAAACAGAAACAUGUGACAAGGCUUACUGGAAUGGAAACAAGCUGCAGAAGAUAACCCAGUGCAGGGUUAUUUCAGGCAGAACAAGGCAUCAUCUCCGGAGGAUGGCAUUUGUGGCUGUCAUUUGUGAAGACUGAUAUGAUUGUUCACUAGGGCUCAUAAUGUGCUUUAAAGCCAGACAGGACAGCAUUUUACGGGCAAAGGAAGCCAAGGGAGGUGAGGGCCUGAAGAUGUUUACUUUCUUAGUUGGUAGCUAAUUAACUUAGCUCUGCUUCUCUGCUCCUUCCUUGGAGCUGCCAUGCAAAGUGCUGAGAAAGCUCAUCUGUUCCAGUGGUCCAGACAUCCCUGCUGGCAGGACACCCAUCUCCCAGUAAAGCUAUUCAAGUCAAGGAAAAAUCAUCAUGCAAAGCAAAUGACCUCUGGGUUUGUACUGAGGGAUGGAUGGACAAGGUGUUAAAACCAGAGUGCUGUGCUUUGUGAGAGCAGAGCAUGGACCUAGUCAUACGGGGAGCUAAACAUUACAUCCAGAACUACUUCUCCUUCCAAAUCUGACCCCAAAAAGCCCAGAAUAUUAGUUUUGUGCCAGAUGCACUAUGAGUUUACCAUAUGAAGUGUGAUGCCACCUGCCAUCUCUUGCUCUGGGAAUGGAAUCGUUGAAAUAGGGAGAUGGAAGGAGAGGAAAGGUGUAUUUCCUGCCCAGAUAGCCUCUCCUCUCUUUCAGGCUGUGGCUAGUAGAUGCUGCAUCUAAUAAGAUGUGGCUAAUAAGUUGGUGCGUGCUCCCAUGAGGCUGCCUUGGGGGUGAUUCUGAGCCAUGUGGGCAGGAUGUCCCUAGCUCCCUGCUCUGCUGUGGGACAAAGCCUCCUCCAGGGAGAUGUCCAAGCUGUGGCUGCCCCCCUCCCUUGCUGUCUCUGCUCCUAUUCUCCUGAUGUGCUCAGGGGGGCAUUUAGGUACUCCCUUCCCAGUCCCAGCACUGUGUGAUCUGGGGGAUGCUGAAGACCUGCAAGGCUUCAAUUAGCUCUAUACUGCUGCCCCACAGUAUGGCAUGGCCUUAAUGCACUGUUCCCGCUGUCUCUGCUGUGCUGACUGCCACCACAGCAGUGCUACCCUAAUAUGAGCUGGAGCCCUGGGGCCGGGCUGGCUGGCUCAGGAAUUGGCUGGUAAGAAAAGCCACAGUGGGUUUUUCCAUUGUCAGCCUAAGUGGAAAAUAUUCAAAUGCAAAUAAAACCCCAAACCACAAUGAAGACUGUAAGGAAACAACACAACUAAGAGUUUUUUUUAAGUGAAAAACUGCUCCAAUACAAGAGAACUGCACUCAUAUAUGGACAUAUUUUUCCUGUCUAAGCUGGUUACAGCAGCUGAUAAGCCCUUGGAUGUGAGUUCUGUUUUCCUGCCUUUUUCUGCUAGGCCAGACCACAUCCAAAAGCCAAUAUCAUGCAUCAGCUCUCAUCUGGUAGGAUGGAAAAUGACACCGUGAUUUUGUUUCAGUGGGAUCUUAACUUGUGCAGCAGGAAGCUCCCUGGUUGCUUCCCUGUUAUAUCUCACCUCCAAGAGACCAGAGAGCACUCAGAUGGGAGAGCCAGUGGGAAGCUCCCUGAAGGGUACGCGUUUCCUCAACCCAAUACUCUGCCAGGACCAUGGCGACAAGAAGGCUGUGACCUGUCCGGGGCUUGUUACAGGACAAUUGUGCACCAGGCCUGUUACCAUUUUGACCUUAGAUUGUCUACUGAUUCCCUCAUGAUUUGAGCUUUUGACUUCUUAUUGUUUGAAAACAUUUUGUAGGUAAAUGGUGCUGUUUUAACUGUUUGUCUAAUUAGACUCAAGUAAUGUGGUACAAUAGUAUCAGGAAUCCUGGUUGUUGCUCCAGACCAGAAAUGUGAAAACCCCUUGAGGCCCACAGCUCACUGGUUGGCACAGAGAACAGAUGUUGGUGUCUGGAGCAAUGGACAGGGUGGGGGCCAUAAGUCAUCACAGCAGCAGAGAAUUCCCUGGAAAGUGCUGUUUGUGUUGGUUUUCUUCCCACCUUUAUCUUUCUGGCCCAGGCAUUGACACUGUCAGCUCAGUUUAAGUUCAAACCACCUCUCUGCUUCCUUCCACCGAGGACCACAUGUGCUGCAGGCUGCCAAGCUGAAAACAACUGCAUUAGCCUUUAAAGCAGCCUGGCCAUGAAAAGAUGGAGGAGAGGAACUCUGAAGGAGUCUGUGGAAGU